UUCUUGCUGUGUUGAACACCCUCUCACGAAGUGGGAGGGGGGUAUAUAUAGUGGGGAGACUAAAACAACCGUUGGGGUCACUUAAGUCUAACAGUGGUCGGACAUCCGGCAGUUCUCGGAUGUCCGGACGCCCACAAGGGGUCGGACGUCGGAGAGGGGUCGGUCGUCCGAAGAAAGUAUAUAUAUCAGGAACCACUGUGUAGUCGAACAGGGACCGGACGUCCGGAGGAAGCCGGAUGUCCGAGAUAUUGGCUCUGUUCAAGGGCACCGGAUUCCCAAAGGGGGUCGGACGUCCGGCCCUCGGACGACAGGAGGAGGCCGGAAGUCCGAGUUAUUUGACUCAAAUUUCUCUUGUGCAAGGUUCCGGUUUUCCGAAGGAGGUCGGACGUCCG
rnacentral:lncRNA from 1 species